AUGAACUCGGUCAUACCGGUUUGUUCUCUUGGGCCCAACCGAAAUCUUUCGGUGCAAUCGAAGCACACAACUCGGAGUCACCGAUUCCACCACAGGGAAACCAACUUGCCACUUAUUCCUGAUUUCUGUUUGCUCCAGCUCCACUCAAUGAUUCUUGUCCUCUACCAGCAUCACAUUAGACAUGCUGCUUUGCUCUGUGACUCGAGGACCAACCCAUUUGUAUCACAUGUCCAGAAGAGCCCUUCUUGGAAAUUGAUGUCAAAGGGGGAGAGAGAGAUCACAUCAAAGCUUAAUCCUUCCUAUAGGGGGAGAAAGAGAGAAUACUCAGGGGGAGAGAGUUUCUCAACUAGGAGAAAGUAA
rnacentral:rRNA from 1 species